AAAAAAGACUGUGCUGCCUUGUUCCAAUGUUACAAAUUUCUUUUAAAUUGUACAUUUAAUAGUGUCUUUUGUAAUAAUGUGAUGAGUGUUUGGAAUGGUUGGAUACAGCAAGGCAAGAAUAAAAGUAAAUUCAUUGGAAAAUAUAUGUGUUUUCUUUUGUACGGACAUACAUGUUGCUACAUGUUGGAAUGUAUAAGCCUGUAAAGAUAUACACGUAGGUGACAAUUUUAUCGAGUUUAAUAUGAAGAAUCUGUGUUGGUUAAACAUUGAUUGGGAUAAUAAAUUAUAUUUAUAGAG
rnacentral:misc_RNA from 1 species